rnacentral:lncRNA from 1 species
UUAUCGUUGGCCAUUAACUUCCCUUCCUACUAUAUUAUUCAGUUCUUUCUUAUUUUACUUGAAUAAGAUAUAUAUGUAUUUGCUCUGGCGUGAUGCACUUUACUGUUAAACAUAUGUAUAUAAUGUUUUGUUCUUUUAUUGUUUUUUAUGAUGUAUUGUAAAAUUAUUCUGUUGAUCUAUGUAUGCCUUCAAUCCCAUUGGAGUAUAAUUGUGC